rnacentral:tRNA from 1 species
GGUGGCUUGGUUGUUAAGCGGUCAGCUGCUAACUGAAAGGAUGGUGGUUCAAACCUACCAGCCGCUU